rnacentral:rRNA from 1 species
AAAUUGAAGAGUUUGAUCAUGGCUCAGAUUGAACGCUGGCGGCAGGCCUAACACAUGCAAGUCGAGCGGAAACGAGUUGUCAGAACCUUCGGGGGACGAUAAUGGCGUCGAGCGGCGGACGGGUGAGUAAUGCCUAGGAAAUUGCCCUGAUGUGGGGGAUAACCAUUGGAAACGAUGGCUAAUACCGCAUGAUGCCUACGGGCCAAAGAGGGGGACCUUCGGGCCUCUCGCGUCAGGAUAUGCCUAGGUGGGAUUAGCUAGUUGGUGAGGUAAGGGCUCACCAAGGCGACGAUCCCUAGCUGGUCUGAGAGGAUGAUCAGCCACACUGGAACUGAGACACGGUCCAGACUCCUACGGGAGGCAGCAGUGGGGAAUAUUGCACAAUGGGCGCAAGCCUGAUGCAGCCAUGCCGCGUGUGUGAAGAAGGCCUUCGGGUUGUAAAGCACUUUCAGUCGUGAGGAAGG